GCUCUAAGUGAGUGAUCUUUGUGAUUUUUUAAGUUUAACGUCAGAUUUUUGAGUUGUCUCUUGUUAGUGAAAAACACUUAAUGAAGUCACUAGUUAAAAUACAAAGAGUUUUCUUGCAGUUACGACCAUCAGAAGUUGCACCAGCAGGGAGAAUGUGGAUAUUGUGAUAAUGGGUUUUGAUUUUGGAGAGAUUUCCAUGAAAUACUAAGGAAUUCAUAGAGCACAUAAUUACCUUUUGGUUGUGCCAUUGUCUUUUUAUUUUAUUUUUAACUUUGAACUGGUCUAUAAAUUAGCAGUAAGAAGUUACAUUGGAAAUGAUAUUUCAAAGAAUACAUGUGUGGUUGAAUGGCAAGGAAAUAAUUUUGAAUACAAGAUGGGUACCAGGGUCUCAGUAAAUGAGCUGAGGAAAGAAAAUUACAGUUUCAUCAUUUUUGUACUUAUACCUGGUGUUUGCAGCCAGGAGAUAGGUUUCUGUAGUUAGGAUGAUGGGAGUUGUUUUCCAUGGAGUACCAGCUAAGUCUUGACAUAAAGAUGAUACUCAUCUGUCAUGAGGCCUGGCUGUGUGAUAACCUGAUGUUCAUUUUCAUUUGCAAUCUCUCCCUCUGUACUCUCCCAGGUGGUGAACAUGUGGACAAGAGGAUCAUAGAUAUCUUCUGCAGUGGUUCCAUCCACAGCACUCAAAUGUUGUCAUUAUUUCCCCCUUUUGGACAUUAUUGCAUCUUUGUAUCCCAAAGGGCACAACUUUUAUAUAUGUAUACUCAGGAAUAG
rnacentral:lncRNA from 1 species